rnacentral:rRNA from 1 species
UACGUAGGGGGCGAGCGUUGUCCGGAUUUAUUGGGCGUAAAAGGCUUGUAGGUGGCCAUGCGAAGUCGGAUGUGAAAUCUCCCCGGCUCAACUGGGAGGGGUCAUUCGAUACUGGCAGGCUCGAGGCCGGUAGGGGGGUGAGCGGAAUUCCCGGUGUAGUGGUGGAAUGCGUAGAUAUCCGGAAGAAACACCGGAGGCGAAGGCGGCUGCUGGGCUCGGUCUGACGCUGAGGCGCGAAAAGCGUGGGGGGGAGCGAACGAGG